rnacentral:rRNA from 2 species
CGUCCAGACUCCUACGGGAGGCAGCAGUGGGGAAUAUUGCACAAUGGGCGAAAGCCUGAUGCAGCUAUACCGCGUGUAUGAAGAAGGCCUUAGGGUUGUAAAGUACUUUCGUUGGGGAGGAAAAAUAAAUAGAUAAUACCUGUUUAUCGUGACGUUACCCAAAAAAGAAGCACCGGCUAACUCCGUGCCAGCAGCCGCGGUAAUACGGAGGGUGCAAGCGUUAAUCAGAAUUACUGGGCGUAAAGAGCUCGUAGGCGGUUUUUUAAGUCAGAUGUGAAAUCCCUGGGCUUAACCUAGGAACUGCAUUUGAAACUAAAAGACUAGAGUAUCGUAGAGGGAGGUAGAAUUCUAGGUGUAGCGGUGAAAUGCGUAGAUAUCUGGAGGAAUACCUGUGGCGAAAGCGGCCUCCUAAACGAAUACUGACGCUGAGGUGCGAAAGCAUGGGGAGCAAACAGGAUUAGAUACCCUGGUAGUCCAUGCCGUAAACGAUGUCGACUUGGAGGUUGUUUCCUUGAGAAGUGACUUCCGAAGCUAACGCGUUAAGUCGACCGCCUGGGGAGUACGGUCGCAAGGCUAAAACUCAAAUGAAUUGACGGGGGCCCGCACAAGCGGUGGAGCAUGUGGUUUAAUUCGAUGCAACGCGAAAAACCUUACCUGGUCUUGACAUCCACAGAAUUUUUCAGAGAUGAGAAAGUGCCUUAGGGAACUGUGAGACAGGUGCUGCAUGGCUGUCGUCAGCUCGUGUUGUGAAAUGUUGGGUUAAGUCCCGCAACGAGCGCAACCCUUAUCCUCUGUUGCCAUUGGUUCGGCCAGGAACUCAGAGGAGACUGCCGGUUAUAAACCGGAGGAAGGCGGGGACGACGUCAAGUCAUCAUGGCCCUUACGACCAGGGCUACACACGUGCUACAAUGGUGUAUACAAAGAGAAGCAACUCUGCAAAGACAAGCAAACCUCAUAAAGUACAUCGUAGUCCGGACUGGAGUCUGCAACUCGACUCCCGA